rnacentral:rRNA from 1 species
GGGUCAGUAGGUUGGUCGUGCCACCGGUACGUACUGGUCUCACUGAUUCCUCCUUCUUGAAGAACCGUAAUGCCAUUAAUUUGGUGUUGCGGGGAAACAGGACUGUUACUUUGACAAAAUUAGAGUGUUUAAAGCAAGCUAACGCUUGAAUACAUUAGCAUGGAAUAAUGAAAUAGGACGAUCGAUCCUAUUUUGUUGGUUUCUAGGAUUGACGUA